GAGACGAAAACCGGAUUUUAUCGUUUAUUUUCAUGCGGAUAAAAAGAGACCGAAUACGAUUCCUGUAUUCGGUCCAGGGAAAUGGCUCUUGGGAGAGAGCCGUGCGCUAAAAGUUGGCAUUAAUGCAGGCUCAAUCGCCUUGCCCUUUAAGAAUAGAUGACGACGUCAGGUUUUCCAGUCCACAGUAAAAGUGGUCUGAAAAAAAGCGUCAGAACAUCACUAAAUGUGAAAAACCGCAGAGCUUUUACAAGC
rnacentral:sRNA from 1 species